rnacentral:lncRNA from 1 species
GGCGGCGGCGGUGCGGGUGAGGUGCGAGGCGAAGCGCGCAGCGUGCAACUCUGGAGGAGCGGAUGUUAAGUCGGAGUACAGCAGAAAAUGUCCACCGAACGAACUUCAUGGACAAACCUGUCCACUAUUCAGAAAAUAGCCCUGGGCCUGGGAAUUCCAGCAAGUGCGACAGUUGCCUACAUCCUGUAUCGUCGAUACAGGGAAAGUAGAGAAGAGAGAUUGACAUUUGUUGGAGAAGAUGACAUUGAAAUAGAGAUGCGAGUUCCCCAAGAAGCUGUGAAGCUCAUCAUUGGUCGACAAGGAGCCAAUAUUAAACAGGUAAGUGUGUGAGCAGGCUGAUGGCUUUUCCAGGCAUCAAAUCUAUUUAUUGACUCCUUGUUUCCUUCCUCUGAUCACAUUUUACAGAACACCCAUGAUACACAUAUUUUUAAAAUAAAAAAAUUCAGGAACUUACUAAGCUAACUGCAUGUUUUCCUUUUAAAUAUGAAAAAUUCUCAGAUGGUAGAUGACUAAGCUUGAAAUGGUAUUUGAUUGGAUGAUUCGUAACUUGAUAUAGCAGGAAUAGUUUCAUUAGGUAGUUAAUGAGCUUCCAUUAAAUGACAAUAAUGAA